rnacentral:rRNA from 1 species
GAUGAACGCUGGCGGCGUGCCUAACACAUGCAAGUCGAGCGAUUCUCUUCGGAGAAGAGCGGCGGACGGGUGAGUAACGCGUAGGUAACCUGCCCUGUACACACGGAUAACAUACCGAAAGGUAUGCUAAUACGAGAUAAUAUGCUUUUGUCGCAUGGUAGAAGUAUCAAAGCUUUUGCGGUACAGGAUGGAUCCGCGUCUGAUUAGCUAGUUGGUAAGGUAACGGCUUACCAAGGCGACGAUCAGUAGCCGACCUGAGAGGGUGAUCGGCCACAUUGGAACUGAGACACGGUCCAAACUCCUACGGGAGGCAGCGGUGGGGAAUAUUGCACAAUGGGCGAAAGCCUGAUGCAGCAACGCCGCGUGAGCGAUGAAGGCCUUCGGGUCGUAAAGCUCUGUCCUCAAGGAAGAUAAUGACGGUACUUGAGGAGGAAGCCCCGGCUAACUACGUGCCAGCCGCCGCCGUAA